rnacentral:ncRNA from 1 species
ACGCAACUCUGGAGAGCUUCCGGGCUGUAUGGCUUACGGAACACCCACGGGGAAACUUUAAACAUCGUUUAGAGGUAACUCUCAGGUAAAAGGACAGAGCGGGAA